GGGGGUGUAGCUCAGUGGUAGAGCGCCAGCUUUGCAUGUUGGAUGCCGCGAGUUCGAUCCUUGCCUCCUCCA
rfam:Thecamonas trahens ATCC 50062 unplaced genomic scaffold supercont1.36, whole genome shotgun sequence.